UACGUAGGUGGCAAGCGUUGUCCGGAAUUAUUGGGCGUAAAGCGCGCGCAGGCGGUCCUUUAAGUCUGAUGUGAAAGACCCCGGCUCAACUGGGGAGGGUCGUGCGAUACGGGCGAACUGGAGGCCAGUAGGGGAUGCGGAAUUCCGGGUGUAGUGGUGGAAUGCGUAGAGAUCCGGAGGAACACCAGCGGCGAAGGCGGCAUCCUGGACUGGUCCUGACGCUGAGGCACGAAGGCCAGGGGAGCAAACGGG
rnacentral:rRNA from 1 species